GAUGAAGAACGCAGCGAAAUGCGAUAAGUAAUGUGAAUUGCAGAAUUCAGUGAAUCAUCGAAUCUUUGAACGCACAUUGCGCCCCUUGGUAUUCCGAGGGGCAUGCCUGUUCGAGCGUCAUUUAAACCAAUCUAGCUUGCUAGGUCUUGGGCUUUCGCCUCUGGGCGGGCCUCAAAAUCAGUGGCGGUGCUGCCGGGCUUUAAGCGUAGUAAUCUUUCUCGCUAUAGGGUCCUGGUAGAGGCUUGCCAACAACUAUAAAUCUUUCAAAGGUUGACCUCGGAUCAGGUAGGGAUACCCGCUGAACCUAAGCAUAUCAAUAAGCGGAGGA
rnacentral:misc_RNA from 1 species